UACGGAGGGUGCAAGCAUUAAUCGGAAUUAUUGGGCGUAAAGGGCGCGUAGGCGGAUUUGUAAGUCAGAUGUGAAAUACCGAGGCUUAACCUCGGUGCCGCAUUUGAAACUACAAAUCUAGAGGGUUGACGGAGAAAACGGAAUUCCACGUGUAGCGGUGAAAUGCGUGGAUAUGUGGAAGAACACCGGUGGCGAAAGCGGUUUUCUAGCUAAUACCUGACGCUGAGGCGCGAGAGCAAGGGGAGCAAACAGG
rnacentral:rRNA from 1 species